CGACGCUUUGCGCCUUUCCAUUCCUCGUCUUUACUACUUACGGGCAUGGAUUCGUAUGUACAUUGAAGCCCGAACGAUACAAGAUCGAUGGGGACCAAUUUUUUGUAAACAUCGUAAAAUGUUUGGUUGUCGGCGCCCAAUCCGUUAAAAAAGGAGAACUUGGAAUCUGUUUCAGGAUCUAAGAGACCAACAACUGAAUCAAAGAAGUUUCGAAGAUCUUCGUAGCUUUCUGCGAAAGCAUCAUAGUAGAUGCCAUCGAAAACGUAUUUAGACGCAAUGUCGUUAAUAGCGUUCUCCCAAGUUGUCUCAUAUACAAUCACAUUUUCACGAUCCAUCCAACCGUUUUUACGCAUAUGUUUCAGAACGUCCGGAUGGGGCUCAAUGAUCACAUGAAGCGAAGGCUCCUUUUCCUGAAGGAACGUAUCUAUUAUUCCAAGACCAAAGCCGACAUUCAAAACACGGCGGCCCUUGGUUGGUGCAAUAAUUUCAGCAGAACGAUGCAUUAUUUUUCGUUCCCAACUCAUCAUAACAGCGUUUGCAUCACUAUCCAAAAGGCUUGAACUGUCUUCUGUAGGUUGCGUAUAGGAGAGUGCACUUUGCAAGUAUUUUUCGUUAGUAUCCAAUUGUUCGUUUGUAAGUUCCUUCCUCUCUAAGAGAGAAAGUAAUAGCUCUGAUCGAACUCCAGCAUCCACGAUUGUUUCGUACAAGCGCAAUAAAUUCCUACGACGUGCAAUGCAUCCAGGAGUUUCGUUAGCUCUAUCAAUACCAUUCCAGACUCCACCAUUAGAAAGGAUCCAUUUCGUUACUUCAAUAGCUUGAACCUCUGUCUCCUUCUCAGCGUAUGAGGCUAUAAAAUGUAAAGCAUUUUUGCCAGACUCGAUAUCGAUAGCUGAAGUAACUGCCCCCUGAUCCACUAGAUUUUGAAUUUUUUUUAAAUCUAGUUGUUUGGAGGCUUCCAAGAGACUUAAGGACUCUUGAGAUUCUUGGAAUUCCACCGAUUCAUUCACUAGUGGAGCGUCCAUUUUAAUAUGAAGAUGGCAGGUAUUUUUUACUCGUAGCUUUAAGCUGAAUGCUUUGCUGGACUUAGAAAUUAAGGGAUUUUUUUGUUAAACAAUAAGACAUUUUAGAUACCGUUGUAAUCAUUUACAUAACGAAGAUGAAAUAAAAAUAAAAAAUUCUUCUUUGUUCUAUCAAGUGUUUCAAAGACAUAGAAUGUACUCAUGAGCUAUAGGAUAAAGAAAACUAGCAAGGAAAUGGCAUUAAAUAAUUAAAAUUAUUCUACCUCG